GGCAUGGGCGGAAUUGGCGUAGUAGGGGUUGCCCUGGGAGUCCAGGUGGUUGAAGAAGACGUCGACUUCAUCCGGAGUCUUUCGGGCAAUGCACCUGCACGUAAGGGAGGCAGCGGAGAAGCUGGAAGAGGCGCAAGCAGAUAUUACGCGACGAGUCGUUGUUAUAGCUAGGAAAGAAACGGAAGAGGGAGACGCUGUCGCCAGCCGCGCCCUGGGAUCGCCCCUGCACGGAACGACUCUAAAACGAGGGACCGUCGCUCAGGCGGACAAACUACGGCAAAAGCGGGAUUAUCGGAACCCUUUCAAAACUCACACAACAAAUACAGCCACCGCAUCUAAUGCAUCAUUUACCAGAGCAGAUCUCCGCGUUUGAUCGGCAGAUAGGCAAAAUCUAUGUAUUCCUUGCUUUACUUAGUAUGCAUGGACGCGGGGCUGCUGUGCAUGCAGGGUGCCCCCCGGCUGGGCCUGGGACACCCCCGAGGCUCUUAGCACACGCAGGUCUUUGCUGUGGACUCCGUGGAGUGACAAGAGUGUCCCCUGCCUGUCCCAGACCUGGGGGAGCAGGGUGGGACAGCAACCCACCUUGCAAGGUGCUGCCGUGCGGCACGCUUGGAAAUUUGGGGUUGCUCCGCUGGGGAGCUGGUGGAUUUGCAGGGAGAGGGGAAGAGGUGUGAGCAUCAUCCUGGGCACCCCAGGCACCCGCUCACACUCACGCUCGCUCCUGCACCCACAGCUGCGUUCACCCAUGCCCAUGAGUGGCUGCUGAGCCCCAGCUGCAUGGCAGCACCCCUGUGCUCCAGAAAGCCACUUUUAGGCUCAGCUGUGCCCUAGUCCUGUCCCAGCCCUCGG